CAGUAGCCGCGGGAAUACAGAGGGUGCGAGCGUUAAUCGGAUUUACUGGGCGUAAAGCGUGCGUAGGCGGCUUCUUAAGUCGGAUGUGAAAUCCCUGAGCUUAACUUAGGAAUUGCAUUCGAUACUGGGAAGCUAGAGUAUGGGAGAGGAUGGUAGAAUUCCAGGUGUAGCGGUGAAAUGCGUAGAGAUCUGGAGGAAUACCGAUGGCGAAGGCAGCCAUCUGGCCUAAUACUGACGCUGAGGUACGAAAGCAUGGGGAGCAAACAGGAUUAGAUACCCGAGUAGUCCCUGUCCUUAUACA
rnacentral:rRNA from 1 species